rnacentral:tRNA from 1 species
AAAAGAUUAGUUAAAUGAUAACAUCAGAGUGUCAAUCUGAAAUAAUUGAUAAUCAAUAUCUUUUG